GGAUCGCCCUCCUUGCUUCCAGCCUCCGCGGCGCAUCCCGUACGAGGAGGCUGUUGUGCAGGAAUUCAGGCCGGCUCAAGUGGGAGAGUCUUUCAGGCCCGCUGAGUUUCAGGUUUCGGUGGUGCUGUGCCCGCGGUGGGGUUGGAGUCUCGGAGUUACUCGUGUUUGUGAGUCCUCACAAGCUCUCCCUGGUGAAGACAUGAGAUGAUGCUCUUCUUCCCCGCUGAGUGUUUGGAGCUGCCUGCCCAGAAGCCCUUAGGGAGAUUUCAUGAGGGAACAGACAAGUUUCUUGCUCGUUUCUGCUGAGAGCUCCUUGUGACCAUGGUUGUGUCUCUGAUGCUUCUGGGGCGCAUGUGUUGGCUUGUCAAGUUUGGGAGAAGAUUCUUAUCCCACCCUGAGCGUUCCCUAGGUGAGAAGGCAGAACCCCUCUCAUCGCUGUCCCUCAGCCUAAGCAAUCCUGCACCCUCCUCUCCAUGUCCUGGUUUGCCUCCAAAUCACCCCAAAAUGUGAUUGUGUAUCAUCAGGAGGGAAGGAAGAAUCUGUACACGAUGCUCAGCCCUGAUGUUUUAAUGGAAAUACUGCGCUACAGUCAAGUUUACAACAUUGGUAUAGAAAUCACAUGGGUUGUGGGCCGAGGAUCACGUUACAGAAUACAAAAAGCAAGAUCAAAUAAAAAGAAAAUUAAAAAAAGCAAACCUCUGCUAUUGUACAGGCUGGGAGCAGAGCUGGGAUUUCAUAUGGAGCACCAGAGGCAGAGGUCUCCCCACAGUGUGUCCUAGGGACCUGCACCAGCCCCCUUGGCUCAAUGACAUGCAGGCACAGACUCCUGAGGAGGCUCCCAUUCCAGACCUGCCUGCUGUGCAUUGGCUGCCAAUGAGUAGUGGCCCCUCCACUACUGGGUGGCACUUCCACCCUGGCUCCAGGUCUCCCUCCAGCGCUGCGCCCCGGCCUCUCUCCGCGGAAGGGAAGGAGCUGCGAUGCCAGGAGGAGAGAACCUGGAACUAGAUGGUAUUAAAGGUCCCUUCCAACCCAGGCCAUUCUAUGAUUCUAUGAACGAGCUGUCUCAAAAUACAGAAAGCCCCUGGGAGAGGCUGAAGCCGUGGCAAAGCCCUGCUCGUGGCUCUCAUCCAGGGAUGAUGGAAGCCAUUCCAGGUGUGUAGGACUGGCUGCAUGGUUUUUUGCAAGGAAAGUUGCCUCCCUUGAGGAGACACAGUGCAGUGGUGGCUGUCAUGGCUUACAAAGCCUGUGCUGACUUCCUUAUUUUUAAAAUCAGAAUCUUCCCCUGUGUUUUAAAUAUCUGCCAGCAUUAAAUUUCUCUACUUAAAAAAAUAUAUAUCCCAUAUGUGGAUUUCAGGAGUGAAACGCACCAAGAGCCCCCACUCCCUCCUCCUUCCCUUGCGCACACACACACACACACACAUGCAGAGCAGCCCUGUCAACUACUGGUUUGGUAUUGCCCAUGAUGUUUUCUCCAACACAGACAGGGAAAAAUACAUCAGCACAAUCAGCCCCAGCUAAGUUGCUCAGCAACACUUCCCAAAAGCGAAGAUCCUUGGAGCUGGAAGAUAAGGUGGAUAAAAAUUACCCACCAGGAAAAAAAGCCAAAAAUUUAAAAAAAAAAUUAAAUUAUA